rnacentral:tRNA from 1 species
UGGGAUAUAGCUGGAAGGACAAGCAAGAGACUGUUAAUCUCUAGAUGAGGGUUCAAUUCCCUCUAUCCCAG